rnacentral:rRNA from 1 species
AUUGAACGCUAGCGGGAUGCUUUACACAUGCAAGUCGAACGGCAGCGCGGACUUCGGUCUGGCGGCGAGUGGCGAACGGGUGAGUAAUGUAUCGGAACGUGCCCAGUAGCGGGGGAUAACUACGCGAAAGCGUAGCUAAUACCGCAUACGCCCUACGGGGGAAAGCAGGGGAUCGUAAGACCUUGCACUAUUGGAGCGGCCGAUAUCGGAUUAGCUAGUUGGUGAGGUAACGGCUCACCAAGGCGACGAUCCGUAGCUGGUUUGAGAGGACGACAGCCACACUGGGACUGAGACACGGCCCAGACUCCUACGGGAGGCAGCAGUGGGGAAUUUUGGACAAUGGGGGCAACCCUGAUCCAGCCAUCCCGCGUGUGCGAUGAAGGCCUUCGGGUUGUAAAGCACUUUUGGCAGGAAAGAAACGUCGCGGGCUAAUACCCCGUGGAACUGACGGUACCUGCAGAAUAAGCACCGGCUAACUACGUG